rnacentral:rRNA from 1 species
UUAAGCGACUAAGCGUACACGGUGGAUGCCCUGGCAGUCAGAGGCGAUGAAGGACGUGCUAAUCUGCGAAAAGCGUCGGUAAGGUGAUAUGAACCGUUAUAACCGGCGAUGUCCGAAUGGGGAAACCCAGUGCAAUUCGUUGCACUAUCGUUAACUGAAUACAUAGGUUAACGAGGCGAACCGGGGGAACUGAAACAUCUAAGUACCCCGAGGAAAAGAAAUCAACCGAGAUUCCCCCAGUAGCGGCGAGCGAACGGGGAGCAGCCCAGAGUCUGAAUCAGCUUGUGUGUUAGUGGAACGGUCUGGAAAGUCCGACGGUACAGGGUGAUAGUCCCGUACACCAAAAUGCACAGGUUGUGAACUCGAAGAGUAGGGCGGGACACGUGGUAUCCUGUCUGAAUAUGGGGGGACCAUCCUCCAAGGCUAAAUACUCCUGACUGACCGAUAGUGAACCAGUACCGUGAGGGAAAGGCGAAAAGAACCCCGGCGAGGGGAGUGAAAAAGAACCUGAAACCGUGUACGUACAAGCAGUGGGAGCACCUUCGGGUGUGACUGCGUACCUUUUGUAUAAUGGGUCAGCGACUUAUAUUCUGUAGCAAGGUUAACCGUAUAGGGGAGCCGCAGGGAAACCGAGUCUUAACUGGGCGUUAAGUUGCAGGGUAUAGACCCGAAACCCGGUGAUCUAGCCAUGGGCAGGUUGAAGGUUGGGUAACACUAACUGGAGGACCGAACCGACUAAUGUUGAAAAAUUAGCGGAUGACUUGUGGCUGGGGGUGAAAGGCCAAUCAAACCGGGAGAUAGCUGGUUCUCCCCGAAAGCUAUUUAGGUAGCGCCUCGUGAACUCAUCUUCGGGGGUAGAGCACUGUUUCGGCUAGGGGGUCAUCCCGACUUACCAACCCGAUGCAAACUACGAAUACCGAAGAAUGUUAUCACGGGAGACACACGGCGGGUGCUAACGUCCGUCGUGAAGAGGGAAACAACCCAGACCGCCAGCUAAGGUCCCAAAGUCAUGGUUAAGUGGGAAACGAUGUGGGAAGGCACAGACAGCCAGGAUGUUGGCUUAGAAGCAGCCAUCAUUUAAAGAAAGCGUAAUAGCUCACUGGUCGAGUCGGCCUGCGCGGAAGAUGUAACGGGGCUAAACCAUGCACCGAAGCUGCGGCAGCGACACUAUGUGUUGUUGGGUAGGGGAGCGUUCUGUAAGCCUGCGAAGGUGACCUGUGAGGGUUGCUGGAGGUAUCAGAAGUGCGAAUGCUGACAUAAGUAACGAUAAAGCGGGUGAAAAGCCCGCUCGCCGGAAGACCAAGGGUUCCUGUCCAACGUUAAUCGGGGCAGGGUGAGUCGACCCCUAAGGCGAGGCCGAAAGGCGUAGUCGAUGGGAAACAGGUUAAUAUUCCUGUACUUGGUGUUACUGCGAAGGGGGGACGGAGAAGGCUAUGUUAGCCGGGCGACGGUUGUCCCGGUUUAAGCAUGUAGGCUGAUUAUCCAGGCAAAUCCGGAUAAUCAAGGCUGAGGUGUGAUGACGAGGCACUACGGUGCUGAAGUAACAAAUGCCCUGCUUCCAGGAAAAGCCUCUAAGCAUCAGGUAACAUCAAAUCGUACCCCAAACCGACACAGGUGGUCAGGUAGAGAAUACCAAGGCGCUUGAGAGAACUCGGGUGAAGGAACUAGGCAAAAUGGUGCCGUAACUUCGGGAGAAGGCACGCUGGUGUGUAGGUGAAGUCCCUGCGGAUGGAGCUGAGACCAGUCGAAGAUACCAGCUGGCUGCAACUGUUUAUUAAAAACACAGCACUGUGCAAACACGAAAGUGGACGUAUACGGUGUGACGCCUGCCCGGUGCCGGAAGGUUAAUUGAUGGGGUUAUCCGUAAGGAGAAGCUCUUGAUCGAAGCCCCGGUAAACGGCGGCCGUAACUAUAACGGUCCUAAGGUAGCGAAAUUCCUUGUCGGGUAAGUUCCGACCUGCACGAAUGGCGUAAUGAUGGCCAGGCUGUCUCCACCCGAGACUCAGUGAAAUUGAACUCGCUGUGAAGAUGCAGUGUACCCGCGGCAAGACGGAAAGACCCCGUGAACCUUUACUAUAGCUUGACACUGAACAUUGAGCCUUGAUGUGUAGGAUAGGUGGGAGGCUUUGAAGCGUGGACGCCAGUCUGCGUGGAGCCAACCUUGAAAUACCACCCUUUAAUGUUUGAUGUUCUAACGUUGGCCCCUGACCGGGGUUGCGGACAGUGUCUGGUGGGUAGUUUGACUGGGGCGGUCUCCUCCCAAAGCGUAACGGAGGAGCACGAAGGUUAGCUAAUCCUGGUCGGACAUCAGGAGGUUAGUGCAAUGGCAUAAGCUAGCUUGACUGCGAGCGUGACGGCGCGAGCAGGUGCGAAAGCAGGUCAUAGUGAUCCGGUGGUUCUGAAUGGAAGGGCCAUCGCUCAACGGAUAAAAGGUACUCCGGGGAUAACAGGCUGAUACCGCCCAAGAGUUCAUAUCGACGGCGGUGUUUGGCACCUCGAUGUCGGCUCAUCACAUCCUGGGGCUGAAGUAGGUCCCAAGGGUAUGGCUGUUCGCCAUUUAAAGUGGUACGCGAGCUGGGUUUAGAACGUCGUGAGACAGUUCGGUCCCUAUCUGCCGUGGGCGCUGGAGAAUUGAGGGGGGCUGCUCCUAGUACGAGAGGACCGGAGUGGACGCAUCACUGGUGUUCGGGUUGUCAUGCCAAUGGCACUGCCCGGUAGCUAAAUGCGGAAGAGAUAAGUGCUGAAAGCAUCUAAGCACGAAACUUGCCCCGAGAUGAGUUCUCCCUGAGACUUUAAGUCUCCUGAAGGAACGUUAAAGACGAUGACGUUGAUAGGCCGGGUGUGUAAGCGCAGCGAUGCGUUGAGCUAACCGGUACUAAUGAACCGUGAGGCUUAACCUU